AUACGUGCGGCAUUUCUACACAAACAAAAUUGUCUCACUGUUUUCUUUGAUUUAGAAAAGGCGUACGACACAACAUGGAGGUUUGAUAUUUUAAGGGACUUAGCGGGUUUAGGGAUCCGCGGUAGAAUGCUUAAAUGUCUAACCGAUUUCAUGUCCGACUGAACAUUCCAAGUGCGUUUAGGAACGGUGCUUUCCCGCGUAUUUAUUCACUUACUGUGUGCAGCUUGCAGCAGGAUUUGCUGACAGGUGGUGGGUUGGCACUGUGUGCCCGUAGCUGCUAGUUGUCGGAGCGUGGUUCCGUGUUUUUCUUUUUCUUUGAGAUGCAGGCACGCUCGAUGUGACCUUCCUUGGAGCAGAAACGGCGCUCGGCUGUCUUGAAUUUGCACGUUUCAGGGUCGUGCAAGCCGUCGCAUCGAUAGCAAUGUCUUGCUGACGUACGCUUGCCUACUGGCUUGAUUUGCAACGUCCUGUUAAUUUCCCCCGAGUUUGCCACUCCCUUGAUAUCUCGCGGAUGCCUUGACGCACUUUCCGCUGACAGGGAAAUCCACAGCGCGUUGAAAUGUCAGGCUUUGUCUGCGAACAGUCUCUGGGGAAGAUGUUCGUCCCAGACGCCGCGGACGAACCUGUCCCGGAGCAUAACAUCCUGGGGCACCAUAGUUGGGUUCGCAGCUGAAGCGGUCGUUUGGGUGUCAGGUGACAUCGUCGAUAGUGUAGCCGAAGGCAGCGCUCCCAAGUUGCAGUCGGCUGUCAAGGUUCCGAGGGCCGCAGCGUAGCUGCUGAUCGACUCGUCCGGCCGUUGGUCGGGUCUUUGAAACACGUACCGGCUGUAAAGCUCGGAUGUCCUGGUGUCGAAUUGUCAUUGUCGAAUUGAAUUGUCAAUUGUCGAAGUGUCACUAAAUCAUUGAAGUUGACUUCUCUCGGGAUCUUCGGCGCUAUCAGCGCGUGCACACACUGUUCGAAAGUGUCGGCUCCACAAAGCGUGAGGAGAAGUGCCCGCUUCUUCGCUUCGUCGCUGACGUCGCUCGCAACGAAGUAAAAGUCGAGGCGCGGGAUACGCGAUUCCCACGAUUUGCCCGAGAAAGGCUCGGCAGCGCUUGUCGGGCCGUGUUGGGCCGUGUGUUGGGCCGGGCCUUAACUUCGAAAACUUAUCCGCUUCGCAACUCCUGCCUCAUCGCCAGUGUUAUGUACGAGGUCUGGCCCCAUCCGUGAAAGGAGUGCGCAUCCGUUGGUGGCAGAAAACAGACUGCGUUUAUUUUCUGCAAAAGGCGCAGGCGAGAGCUGCAUGUGUUCGAGGGGUAAACUCUCGGUCCCUUUCCGGUAGCAGAGACGGCGAGGGCGACGACGAAGGAUUCUCAGAACUCGACUCGGGAUGGGGUGGCUUCCCGUUUCUUCCGCGCUGGUGCUUUGUCCAGCCGAGGAGCGGCGGUGCGCCGCUUGCCCACAACUCAAGCUUUCGCUAGCACAGCUACAAAAAGUGCGCCAUCGCGCCAUACACAACCGAGCACAUAGUGACGCAUGUUGUCGCAACAUUAUGCGGUAGCAAUAAACAAAAAAAAAAGUGGCACAGGUAAGACGACUGCACAGUGUUCCAAAGGUGGGUCACCACGUCAACGCCACACAUGCAGCGCAGAAUGUCACAGUGCAAGAGUCGCGUUUUCACCAUGACGCGGAAGCUUCAAGCUGCAUCGACAAAAAUAUGCCAGUGUCGUCUGCUGUUGGCGAUGGGCGUCUUGCGCUGGAGAUUGAGGUAUAGUGGCGGCGCAGGAAAUGACAUCUGGUCGUACCAGCUUGGGUCGUAUUGAGCCCUGGCUGUGGCGAAGCGCGUUUCUAGGCGGAGUUUUGCGUCGAUUCGCACUUUUUUCUGCCCUGUUGCGAGUGCGAAAAGGCUCGUCACUUCUCACAGACCACGUUGCGAGCUCGUCGCAGCCUAUAGUUUAACGAAAACGGACUCUCCGUGAGACGUAAUGCUGGAAGCAGAAGGAAUCGGCGACGCCGAUCCGUAGAGACCUAGCUCAGCCUCGAAAAAGCGUCACCGUCGUUACUUCUGCGUCGUCGGCUGCCAUGAACAAGAAGGCCUGAAUCCUAACAUCAGAUUCUACCGUUUUCUUUCAAGGCCUCACGAAGCAGAGCGUCGGGCGCGCUGGUUAGUUGCAGUUCGUCGCGCUGGGUAAACGAAACUUCGCGCCAUGCUGACUGAUUCGCCUGUCUUGAAACUUGCUUAUCUGCGUUCAAAAAUUCGGUAUUUUGCACCUACAGUCCCGACGGCAGACCGACAUAGCAGCAGGCAUGGCUGGUGAUUCACGAUUCGAGACCCGGCCACAGCGACAAUUAACAAUUCGACCCGUGCGAAGUGGUGCGUUCAAAUGAUCACAAAUGGUCGGGCUGAUUCGGUAACAAUUCACUACCCCACUACGAGCAGCACAGGUUAGAGAGUUAAAUGUGCUUAUCCUUUACCUCAAGCCAGCACGUUGAGGCAGCGCAGCAAGGUUGUAUUGAUUGCAGCACAUAGAUGUUCGAGCGCUGUCAUUAAAAGCUACAUCAAGCGAUCAGCGCACGAGCUCGCGCGAUUCGCACGUACGUUACUGCGAGCUCAUAGCAUUGCAUCAGUUAUUUAUCAAUUGCUAAAGGGACAGAUGGCCGCUACUACAGUGCAGCAGGCAUAAAUACUUGUCUAGCGGCAUGCAGUCAACAAAGAUUGCAGGAGGCCCGCCGUUUCGCCGCAUGUCGAAAGACCGCUGCCAUCGCGGCGCGUAUGAUCGUGCGCUCGAGCAGUUCGUACAUCGCGGCAUGCUGAAAGACCGCUGUCGUCGCCGCGCGUACCGUCGUGCGCUCGAGCAGUUCAGUACACAUGAUGACGGCUUAUCGCUGCUGUGAGUUCAUUUAUAGCAAGCAUUUCGUCGCGUUUGUGUGCCUGAAUCUAGCAGCGUGCAAAGCUUACCUGAAGUUCAACUUCGUACGCGACUCGCUUCACUUGCGAUUGACACCGUGCUAAAACUUCGCCGCUUAUUUCUUGAACGGCGUACACGUAUUCGGCGUUGCAUAAGUUAUUGCCUUUACGCAGCGUGCCACCCCUGAAAAAAAUCUUCGGCGCCCGAUAUUCGCUGCAAGCCGCAGUACAACAAAACCGAAAGUGGCGGGUCCAUAUUGUAAACGUGCUUUCCGGAGCAGACGACCGAGCUUUGGUACUACCCAGUUGAGGACAGAGGGCGCUUUUUAGCACCAUUUUCGCAGCGCCCCCUGGGCAAUGCAAGAGCCCCAUAGUUGCCGACUUCGAACAGUUUUGCUCUGCGCACUGCCGAAUGUUUGCUGGCUUUCAACAGACGUCGCGUCCCCAGACCGAAGUGCGGAUGCCGGCGCGUGCGAACCACUCGAGCUAACUAGUAAAAAAUAAUUAAUAAGAGAGCAAACCUAAUAACGAAAUCCUGGCACGGCGCGAAAUAUUGCUGGUCGCCAGCACACGAGGCUGCCAACUUGCUGAUGCAUGUUGCCAGUUGCUGGUUGCCUAUUUGGACAACCAGAGGGCGCAUGCGAACCGCACCGCAUCAUGCGGUUUCAGCGUAAAUCCACUUUUGUGACCGAUCGUGACGACCACCCGCUUUUCACGAACCGCCUGCGUGCGGUGCGGCGAUGGGCGGUUUGGGCGUAGAUCGGCCCUUAAGCCCGGAAUACAUGGAGCGUUUUUGAGGCGAUUUUCGCCUCACGGCGCCGAUUUGACGCCCGGCGUGGCGAAAAACGCCCGCUGCCGCCGAGCAGGACCGGCUUGAUUUUGACGCGGCGCGCACGCGUCUGACGUUACCGGAAGUGCCUGUCGGAGACACUUCCGUCUGUUUUCGGCGGGAGCGGCUAGACGUCUCGCCGUUCCUUGAACAACUCGCGCGCGUGCGCUGGUCAGCACCAUGGCUACGUCGGCGAAAGCAUCACGGGUGGAGUUUAACGACAAACUUAUAGGCGCGAUACAGAAACGUCCCAUAUUGUGGGACAGCACAAGGAAGGAUUUCAAGGAGCAGAGGAAGAGGAUGGCGGCGUGGGCCGAAUGGCCACCGAAGUUGGAUGUGACCCGGAAGGUAUGGUUGCAUUGCUACUAGUAUUUCUACCAAGACACAGUGCAAAAACUUUGUUUUAGAACCAAUGUUUUACAACCAGGUCAGAUAAAAAGGGACGCGCGGUAUAUCCGCGCCGACUUGCUGAAUAACCAAUGGAAGUUAAGAUAAAUACUGGCAUGCUUCUGCAAUGAACAAUUGUCAUUGAUAUUACAAAAGUAUUAUAUUUAACUGUUUUAUUUGAUGGUAAUGUGUGGAAGUAAAUCGAGGUUAAUCUGUGCAAUUCUACUUGCAGACAAUAAUCUACAGGGGCGGUGGAAGAGCCUUCGUGAUACAUUCACGAAGAAGCACCGCGCGUGGAAGACUGGUGCACCAAGUGGCUCGGGAGCUGCUGAUGCAGUGCACGUGAAGUGGCCGUAUUUCCACAUGAUGAUGUUUCUAAAAGAUCAGGUGGAUAUUGGCAGCACCUUCUCAAACAGCCAUGUGCAGGACGGUGAAACUGCAGAGUCGGUCCUGGAAUCGAUCUACAGUGAAACAGAAGACGGAGCAGAACCUCCUGAAGAUGAUGCUUUCUCUCCACUUGUGCCCUCAAGAAGUACCAGCCCAGAGCCACACACACCAAGCGGCAGCUCACAAGCCAGCACCGCUGCAAGAACCCUGACAGCCCCUCGGUCUGGCGCAGGAAAGAAAAGGAAAGAGAGGUCUCGGUGGCAGGACGACAUUGAUAAAGUUGACGCCCUGAUAACUGAGGACAAGGACCAAGCGUCAGUCUAUGGGCAGCUAGUUGCCCACAAGCUGCGGGCAUGCCCGAAGCAUGCGAAACGGGACAUGGAAAUGGAUUUGCUGCAAUUCAUAGCGAAGUAUACAUUUCAUGACAACCCUGAAUAAAUGCACAUCACAUAGUUUUCUAACAGACUUCGUAUAGUGACAAUGGGUGCUUUAAAUCCACUAUGGAUUCUGUGGCAGUGUG